rnacentral:rRNA from 1 species
AGCAGCCGCGGUAAUUCCAGCUCCAAUAGCGUAUAUUAAAGUUGUUGCAGUUAAAAAGCUCGUAGUUGAAUUUCGGGAUCAGUACGCUGGUCGUGCCUUGGUAUGUACUGGUGUUACUGGUUCCUACCUUCUGACGAACCGUCAUGUCAUUAAUUUGGUGUAGCGGGAAAUCAGGACUGUUACUUUGAAAAAUUGAGUGUUUAAAGCAGGCUCGCGCUUGAAUACAUUAGCAUGGAAUAAUGAAAUAGGACGUUCGAUCCUAUUUUGUUGGUUUCUAGGAUUGACGUAAUGAUUAAUAGGGAUAGUUGGGGGCAUUAGUAUUCAAUUGUCAGAGGUGAAAUUCUUGGAUUUAUUGAAGACUAACUACUGCGAAAG